rnacentral:rRNA from 1 species
ACGUAGGUGGCGAGCGUUAUUCGGAUUCACUGGGCGUAAAGGGUCCGUAGGGGGUCUGCCAAGUCUGGUGUGAAAGCCCGCGGCUCAACUGCGGAACGGCACUGGAUACUGGCGUUCUUUGAGUCUGCGAGGGGUAAGUGGAAUUCCUGGUGUAGCGGUGGAAUGCGUAGAUAUUAGGAGGAACACCGGUGGCGAAGGCGGCUUUCUGGCGUGGUACUGACGCUGAGGGGCGAAAGCGUGGGGAGCAAACGG